UUCAUUUCACUGCACACCCUGUGUGUGUAUGUGACAAAUAAAACAUCUUGAAUCUUGAAACUUCCGGUAGCUUGUAAUCAGGAAGUAAACAAGAGCAUGGCUCAGAGACGCUGUCUCCAUUAGUUUGUAAUCCAGUGGAAUCUGCAUACAUCUUGUACCUUUUGAUAGCAUCGUUGUUUUACACUUUCCUAUGUCAAUAAACCUGUGGACAACGGACAA